rnacentral:rRNA from 1 species
AGUCUGGUGCCAGCACCCGCGGUAAUUCCAGCUCUUAUAGUGUAUAUUAAAGUUGCUGCAGUUAAAAAGCUCGUAGUCUAAUAUCUAGUGCGGCGCGUGCUGGCUCACUGCCAGCGCGACGCGGUGCUAUCUGUUCGAGAACUUCUUCUAUCUUAACUGGUCGGAGAUGCUGAUCGGACUCUUUCCUGAGAAAAAAUUAGAGUGUUUAAAGCAGGCUAAUGCAAUGAAUAUUACAGCUUGGAAUAAUAGAAUAAGACUGGACUGUCUUUUGUUGGUUAUGAACUUUAGUAAUGGUUAAUAUAAACAGUCGGGGGUAUUAGUAUUUAAGUGUCAGAGGUGAAAUUCUAUGAUUACUUAAAGACUAACUUAUGCGAAAGCAUUUACCAAGGAUGUUUUCAUUGAUCAAGAACGAAAGUUAGGGGAUCAAAGACGAUCAGAUACCGUCCUAGUCUUAACUAUAAACGAUUCCGACCAAGGAUCGGGGAGGUCUGCUAAGCCUUCUCGGCACUUUAUGAGAAAUCAAAGUCUUUGGGUUCUGGGGGAAGUACGGACACAAGUCUGAAACUUAAAGGAAUUGACGGAAGGGCACACAAGAUGUGGAGACUGCGGCUUAAUUUGACCCAACACGGGGAAACUUACUAGAGCAAGACUAAGGUUGGAUUGACAGAAUGAGAGCUCUUUCUUGAUUCUUAGGGUGGUGGUGCAUGGCCGUUCUUAGUUGGUGGAGUGAUUUGUCUGGUUAAUUCCGUUAACGAACGAGACUUUAACCUGCUAAACUAGGAGCCGGAUUACUCAUCUGGUUUCCUUCUUAGAGGGACUACGUGUUCAAGCACAAGGAAGUUUGAGGCAAUAACAGGUCUGUGAUGCCCCUAGACGUUCUAGGCCGCACGCGUUCUACAAUGACGUAUUCAACGAGUUUCUUCCUGGCCUGGAAAGGUUCGGGUAAUCUUCAUAGGAUACAGUCGUGCUUUGGGAUUGUCCUUUGCAAUUAUAGGACAUAAACUAGGAAUAUCUAGUAUAGGUGCGUCAUCAGCGCACCUAGAUUAAGUCCCUGCCCUUUGUACACACCGCCCGUCGCUCCUACCGAUUUUGAGUGAUUAGGUGAACCUUCUGGAUCAGCGUGGUCUUCAAGUCCAUGCUGAGAAGUUAAGUAAAUCAUUAUCACUUAGAGGAAGGAGAAGUCGUAACAAGGU